UAAUACCGGCAGUUCAAGUCGCAUCCCUAUUUAUUGGGUCUAAAACAUCCGUAGCUUGCCAUUUAAGUCUCUUGUGAAAUCUCAUGUCUUAAGCAUGAGGCUUGCGGGAGAUACUGGAUGGCUAGAGAUCGGUAGACGUAAGGAGUACGCGAGAGGUAGUGGUUAAAUACGUUAAUCUUUCGUGGACUAACGAUGAGCGAAGGCACCUUACGAGGACGAAUCUGACAGUCAGGGAUGAGGCCAGGGGCGCAAAACGGAUUAGAUACCCGUGUAGUCCUGGCAGUAAACACUGCUCACUAAACAUCGGGCCCUCUUCGGGAGGAUUCGGUGCUGAAGCGAAGGCGAAGAGUGAGCUACCUGGGAAGUAUAGUCGCAAGAUCG
rnacentral:rRNA from 1 species